ensembl:lncRNA
UUAAAAGUCAGCCUCCAGGGGCUUCCCUGGUGGCUCAGCGGUGAAGAAUCUGCGUGCCAGUGCAGGGACAUAGGUUUGAUCCCUGAUCUGGGAAGAUCCCACAUGCCUUGAAGCUAGCCUUGUGCUACAACUAUCGAGCCCGUGUUCUAGAGCGCAGGAGCCACAACUACCGAAGCCCCUUGUGCCUGAAGACUGGGCCCCGCAACUAGAGAAGCCUCCGCAGUGAGAAGCCUGCGCCCCGCAACUAGAGAAGCCUCUGCAGUGAGAAGCCUGCGCCCCGCAACAAGAGACAAGCCCACGCGGGAACAAAGACCCACGUGGCCAAAAAUAAGCUCUGAACGUUCCCUGUGUCCCCAGCCUCUACUGAGAUGUGGGGCCUGCAAGCUCCAUUCCUCACUCAGCUGGGUCCACUGUUCUUCCCCCCUGCAUAGGUGUGAAUUGCAGCCUGUCUUCUCAAAACACGGGCUGCAAAGGCCAUCUUCCAGGGCAGGCAAUGCUAUUAUCAGGACGGUUGAAUGUGAAAGGGUCCUACAAAUGUGGUCAUGCGGUGUUUUAAACUGUCUACGACUUCUGCACAAACCCAUCCUGGAGGUCCCUGAGUGCCAAAGCUACCUGCACUCGCGUCCGCUACCUGCAAAGCCCCUAGUGGAUCCUACCUCUGCUGCUGCUGCGACAGAGAUGCUGCCUUACCUGGGGCUUCCACCAACAACAAGUAUCCAGGAGUCGUGCUGUGAAGGAACACAGGGAGGUCUGGCCCUCUGUGUUUCUGCCCUGGAGGUCCAUAUGGGGUCCCCACUGG